UACGUAGGGGGCAAGCGUUGUCCGGAAUCAUUGGGCGUAAAGAGCGCGUAGGCGGCCCUGUAAGUCCGCUGUGAAAGUCAAGGGCUCAACCCUCGAAUGCCGGUGGAUACUGUCGGGCUAGAGUGCGGAAGAGGCGAGUGGAAUUCCUGGUGUAGCGGUGAAAUGCGCAGAUAUCAGGAGGAACACCUAUUGCGAAGGCAGCUCGCUGGGACGUAACUGACGCUGAGACGCGAAAGCGUGGGGAGCAAACAGG
rnacentral:rRNA from 1 species